rnacentral:snoRNA from 1 species
GCUGAGGUCUUGGGAGUUGUAGCUGCACGAUGUUGGAAAUGCCUUAUAGAGUAAAUCUCAGGUUUCUUUUUCCUUAUAAGACUAUUAGAUCCGUGGGAAGGAACUGCAAGACUGUU